rnacentral:lncRNA from 1 species
GCAGCGGCGAAGGGAGUGGGGCGGGGGCAGCCGCUCCGAGUGUCCGGCUUUUUGAAUGAGCCACGUGUUCAAACUACAAAUCAACGUCUCACGUGAGGAAUCCCAGCGCCUCAAUUAGACAAAGGACUGUAAAACCAAUUAAGCACCAGCCGAGCUAUUCUAUUAGAGCCUACACAGUCUCAUUUAUUUCAUAUAUUGAGAAUACAGACCAACUUUUUCCAGCUCAAAAUAUCCUUAAGCUUCUUUUCCCCCAAAGAUACUGAAAACCUCAGAACUACCCUAGUGCCACACAGCAUCGUGCUCCUCCAUCAUUUCCUCAGUCAGGCGCCUGAGGACUAGUCAGAACCGAACUGAAGGACGGGACAGUGUAGAAGAUCUCACCGCACUUGGAUGAAUGCAAAGAUACAUUCGUUUGAUGUAUUGGAUAUAAUUCAGACUGUAUUUCAAGUCUACAGUUCUCUCUCUGUCGUAAUAAGGAAAAAAUGAUGUGGUGUUUACUUAACUUAUUCAACAAAUAUUUAUGUCCCUAAAGUGCAGCACUUUGGAGGUAAGAAAUGGACAAGUUUGGUCAGCUCCUUACAAGGAAGCACUCUGUCAUGCAUGUUGUCCUUAAAAACAUCAGUGGUGUGCCCAA